CAGCCGCCACGGUAAUACGAAGGGGGCUAGCGUUGCUCGGAAUCACUGGGCGUAAAGGGUGCGUAGGCGGGUUUUUAAGUCAGAGGUGAAAUCCUGGAGCUCAACUCCAGAACUGCCUUUGAUACUGAAAGUCUUGAGUAUGGGAGAGGUGAGUGGAACUGCGAGUGUAGAGGUGAAAUUCGUAGAUAUUCGCAAGAACACCAGUGGCGAAGGCGGCUCACUGGCCCAUAACUGACGCUGAGGCACGAAAGCGUGGGGAGCAAACAGGAUUAGAUACCCCCGUAGUCCCUGUCUCUUAUAC
rnacentral:rRNA from 1 species